CGAGCUGGGGCUCCCGCAGGCAGGCAGGCCUCUCUGGCGCUCCGAAUGAAAGCAAACCGUCCGCCCGGCUUCCCGCGGCCCCUCUGGAAAAGUCCCUUCCCCUCUUGCAGCAAACUUCGCUAGGGGCCUCGCUCCCGCCGGCUGAGGCUGCGGCGCGCGAAGGGUUAAGCCAGCCCGUCCCAGCUGACAGUCAGCUGAUUGGGCCCUGAUUGACAGCUCCGAAAAGUUUCCUUGUUUCUAUACUAUUAUGCUAAUCGCGGCCGCUCUCGCCGCCUCCCAUUGGCCCGGAGUGCCAGUCAAUUUCCCAUUUGAGCCUGACGUCACAACUGCUAUAAAACUCAGCAAUUGCUUUAAACUCUUGUUGGAUCAGAGGCUUUAAAAUCUUUUUUCAUCUUCGAGCUGUAGCUCGGGCUGCUCGUCGGCUCGGCCUCUCCCCCCACCCCCUUGCUCUCUGCCUCGCCUUUUCCCCAGGACUUCGCUAUUUUGCUUUAAAAAAAAAAGGCAAGAAAAAACUAAACUCCCCCCUCCCUUUCCUCCAGCCCGACUGCACCUCUGUCUCGCACUUUGCACGGAGGGAGAGAGAGCGAGAGAGAGCGCGCGCGAGAGAGGACAGGAGGAAAAAAAAUAAAAAGAGCCAGGCAGAAGAGGCGGCGAGAAGCAUGAAGUGUUAACUCCCCUGUGCCAAGGCCCGCGCCGCCCGGACAGCCGCCCGCCGCGCCUCCAGCCCCGAGCGGCCGCCGCGCGCCCCGCCUGCAGCCCCGGGCCGGCGAGGCGAGCCCUCCUUAUGCAAAGCGCGCAGCGGAGCGGCGAGCGGGGGACGCCGCGCACCCGGCCGGGCUCCUCCGGCUUCGCCGCCGCCGCCGCCCGCGGAGGACCUUCCCGAGCCUGAAGCCGCCGGCUCGGCGCGCACGGAGGCGAGCAGGCGAGGAGGGGCCGGGGCGAGCGAGAGGGAGCACAUUGGCGUGAGCAGGGGGGAGGGCGGGCGGCCGCGGGCAGGGCGGGGGUGUGUGUGCGCGCUCGGAGCUUUCGGGCCAGCCACCGCCGCGCGAGCUAGAAGCGCCCCAGCCCGGCAAGCUGGCUCACCCGCUGGCCACCCAGCACAGCCCGCUGGCCCCUCUCCUGCAGCCCAUCUGGCGGAGCGGCGGCGGCGGCGGCGGCAGGAGAAUGGCAUCAGAACUGGCAAUGAGCAACUCCGACCUGCCCACCAGUCCCCUGGCCAUGGAAUAUGUUAAUGACUUCGAUCUGAUGAAGUUUGAAGUGAAAAAGGAACCGGUGGAGACCGACCGCAUCAUCAGCCAGUGCGGCCGUCUCAUCGCCGGGGGCUCUCUGUCCUCCACCCCCAUGAGCACGCCGUGCAGCUCGGUGCCCCCUUCCCCCAGCUUCUCGGCGCCCAGCCCGGGCUCGGGCAGCGAGCAGAAGGCGCACCUGGAAGACUACUACUGGAUGACCGGCUACCCGCAGCAGCUGAACCCGGAGGCGCUGGGCUUCAGCCCCGAGGACGCGGUCGAGGCGCUCAUCAGCAACAGCCACCAGCUCCAGGGCGGCUUCGAUGGCUACGCGCGCGGGGCGCAGCAGCUGGCCGCGGCGGCCGGGGCCGGCGCCGGCGCCUCCCUGGGCGGCAGCGGCGAGGAGAUGGGCCCCGCCGCCGCCGUGGUGUCCGCCGUGAUCGCCGCGGCCGCCGCGCAGAGCGGCGCGGGCCCGCACUACCACCACCACCACCACCACGCCGCCGGCCACCACCACCACCCGACGGCCGGCGCGCCCGGCUCCGCGGGCAGCGCGUCCGCCUCGGCCGGCGGCGCGGGCGGCGGGGGCCCGGCCAGUGCCGGGGGCGGCGGCGGCGGCGGCGGCGGGGGCGCGGCGGGGGCGGGGGGCGCCCUGCACCCGCACCACGCCGCCGGCGGCCUGCACUUCGACGACCGCUUCUCCGACGAGCAGCUGGUGACCAUGUCGGUGCGCGAGCUGAACCGGCAGCUGCGCGGGGUCAGCAAGGAGGAGGUGAUCCGGCUGAAGCAGAAGAGGCGGACCCUGAAAAACCGCGGCUAUGCCCAGUCCUGCCGCUUCAAGAGGGUGCAGCAGAGACACGUCCUGGAGUCCGAGAAGAACCAGCUGCUGCAGCAGGUCGACCAUCUCAAGCAGGAGAUCUCCAGGCUGGUGCGCGAGAGGGACGCGUACAAGGAGAAAUAUGAGAAGUUGGUGAGCAGCGGCUUCCGAGAAAACGGCUCAAGCAGCGACAACCCGUCCUCUCCCGAGUUUUUCAUGUACCCAAGAGAAUCCUCUGCCUCAGUGAUGUGAAAAAUCCUGUUACCUGAAGUCAAAGAGGUACAUCUUGAUUUUUGAUCUGCAUGUGCUUGUUUUAGUGAAUUUUCCAUGCAAGGGGGGAAGCAAGCAAGCAAGCAAGCGCCUCAGGAAUGCUGCUAAUUUUUGAGGUAUCCCAGUGUGAAUUUAAUUAUGAAUCCUCUUCGUUUGGAGAGCUGGGCCAACAGUCUUACACCCAUAAUUAUUUAGUGGCGUAAUUUCAUGUAUUCUUGUUACCUCUUUAUUGGCUAAUGGAACUAAGUUUGAUUUUUGUUUAUUAAAAUUUUUUGCUUGCUGAGAAAUUUGCAUGAAAUACACUUAUUGGUUUCGAAAGAAACUGAGGGGGGCAAAAGUCACACUGUCAAAUUGCUACUCUUUGCACAGAAGGCACUCUAAGAAUCCAGUGAAUUGAGAGUAUUGGGAAACACAGCUCCACUUUUUUUCCGCUCUUCAAAUAUGGUAUCUGAUUACUUGCUUCUACAAGCUGCCAUGAUGAGGGUCUUUCUUUGGAUAACUGGAUUGUGAAUAUUUAAUAUGAUUUCUUUCCUAGCCUUAACAUUUUCUUUAAUGAUUCCCAUACAUCGAUGUUAACUCAAUGUAUGCUUUUAGGGUUAACUUGUGUGUGUCAGUGCAUGCGGCUCCAAUACUUUAUUUCUUCCUUUUCCCUGUCUUGAUAUAUGCUGUUUGAAAACUGCCUAUUAAAAAUGAUGAUGUAAGCUUGCUGGCAGAUUCUGUUAUGUUGAAACCCAUCCAUUUUGGGGCAGAGACUUAACGAACUUUGGAGGCAAGGUUCACUCCUAUCCUGACCCCACUGGUAGUAUUUCAUAGAAGGUUACUGGUGGGAGAGAAAUCAAAUUUCAGUUGUGAACGUGAUUGACGGGUAAGAGCAAGAAGAGAAAGGCAGGUGGUCAGAUGGGGAAUUUGGGGAAGAAGAGGACAAUUCCUUGAAGUUUCUCUGUGAUAUUAGAUAUUAUAAACUGAUAUGAGAAACAUUCAAUACUUGAUACUCUUGGGAGAUUUGCUUAGUUUAUUUUCAGAAAGUCUCUUUGGUUAAGGGAUUUUAGUAGUAGAAGCCAAAAAUGGCAAACUGCUAGCUUUCUGCUCUCUUGCUAAUUUCAACUAUGUAUAACUUUGUGGCUUAUUUCUGGCAAUUUAAUUUUCUAGACUACAGCAUGAAAAUUAAUUCAGAAGCCAUUUAGCAAGCCAUUUAAUUUCUUUUUGUUUCUUCUCAGAAAUACAGUCUAGAUUGUAUUGUGGUUCUUGGGAAUAUUACAAAAUAUUCAUACCAAGUGGUUUUCUAAAGGGAUUAAAAUUCUCCAUUUCUUUAGCAUGCUUUGACCCUGACUAACAUCUUCCAUUAGAGCACAUUGCAGCUUAAUGUACACAAAGCAACCAAAAUGCAUGGUUUACCAAGGCCGUGUAUUUUCAAGAAAGGGCUUCUAACAUGAAGGUUCACGUAAACGACAGCCUCACACUCACUGCUUGUGCAGCUUUCUCCUGAUCUGGCUAUUUGAUGUAAACUUUUCUAUAAUGCCAUCACCGCAUGAAGAUGUGACAUCAGCACCACUUCCGUGACAACCAUUAAUGAUGUCUCUUCACUCUAAUGCUAACGAUGGUUGUUGAAUGAGUCCCGGAAGCUGUCUGACGGUUUGAACUGUUGGAAAGGAGGUAACAGGAUGACUCACGAUUGGCCCCAAAGAUGAACGUAGGCCUUCAAAACACGUUCUUUCAUCUCAUGGGCUGAAACGCUGAUCUGGAACGUGAUGAUGGACCUUAGCCUGCUCAUGUCUGUGCUCUGCCCAUUUCAGAUGUUCCUGACGUUGGCUAAGACACAUCGGGAUGCAACCAACCUUACAGAGCUGCCUCCGGGCAGGCCAGGUGGGAUAGAGACAUGGGGGAGAACCCAUAGGUGGCUUUCCUGUCACCUCCGAGAGAAGCUGAUGGAACAUGUAUAAACAUCAUUUCCUGGGUUCUAAAUACCCAUCGAUUUUUUUUUUCUAGUCUUACAAUGACCUGAGUGGACAAACUUUAUGUUGACUGUACUGAUGAUAGAAAUUCAAAAAAGUUGUCAAAUGCAAGGGAGGCUUUAUUAUUUUCUGAACUGAGUUAAAAACAACAAUGAAAACUAUGCGGUGAAAGUACUCAGAAACAGUGUUUCUGUUUUGCGUAGCUCUUUCCUUCCCUGUUGUCCAUGAUCAUCCAGAAAAAAGAUGUAAACAUGAUUUCCUAAUGUCAGUGUCAAUGUGGGUGCUUAAGCACAGAGUGUGUAGCUGUUCAGUUCAAGUAUAAAAUCAAAGAUGUCAUAACCGUGUUUCCCUUGCAGAGUCCAUCAAAUGCUUUAACAGAAAUGGUGAAUCAGGUGCUCCCUUGCAAAGGCCAUGUGAGAACAGACUGUAAGUCCUGGUUUCUUGGCUCCAGUGUUUGAGAAGGACACAUUAGAACAGUGGCUGGUCGUGCCUGUGUCUUCACUGCAGCACCUCAGGGCUUCUAAAAACUCGUGUUUUUGUUUUUUUUUUUUUUUAGAAUAAGUUCCCUGUCCUCCAAGACAGCAAGGAGCAUAGUUCAGUCUUGCACAUAGAUUGCAGCAAGGAGCAAUCCAUUGGAAGUUUUAAGCAAAUAACAUCACUGUAUCCAUUGGCACUGAGAAAAUAAAGGGGAAAAUUAUGUUUAAAGUAUUUUAUUAUUUAGACCCAGCCCACCUAAUUUGUUUUUGUUGGUUGUUGUUUGUUUAUUUAGAUUUAGCUCCCUGUCUAACCACCCACCAUGCUCUCCUUCCAUAUGUGGUUGGCGAGUGUUUUUCUUUCUGUACACGGUGGCCUACUCCUGAGCUGGUUUAAUCAAUUAAUUAUAGCAAAGCUUUUGCAGGGUAACCAGCCUAAUGAUGCCAUAUGAACUCAUAUUAUUUUCAGUCAAGUUUCUGGGAUGCUAUUGAAGGGGCCAGUUUAAAGAAAGAAACAUCAAGCAUUUA